rnacentral:rRNA from 1 species
CCUACGGGAGGCAGCAGUGGGGAAUAUUGGGCAAUGGAGGCAACUCUGACCCAGCAACGCCGCGUGAAUGAUGAAGGUCUUCGGAUUGUAAAGCUCUGUGAUGGGGGAUGAACACAAUGACGGUACCCCAAUAGCAAGCCACGGCUAACUACGUGCCAGCAGCCGCGGCAAUACGUCGGUGGCAAGCGUUAUCCGGAAUGACUGGGCGUAAAGGGUGCGUAGGUGGUUGAGUAAGUUGGCGGGGUAAUUCCGGGGCUGAACCUCGGCGCUACCGCAAAAACUAUUAGACUAGAGUGCAGGAGAGGUAAGUGGAAUUCCUAGUGUAGCGGUGGAAUGCGUAGAUAUUAGGAGGAACAUCAGGGGCGAAGGCGACUUACUGGACUGUAACUGACACUGAGGCACGAAAGCGUGGGGAGCGAACAGGAUUAGAUACCCCAGUAGUC